rnacentral:lncRNA from 1 species
AGUGGUCAGCUGUAGGUGGUAGAGGUCAGGCAGGCAAGGCCCUUCUGCUCGGGAAGGGAGCUUCAGGCUAGAACUCUCCAGGACAGGGAGGCUCAUAACCUGGGAGCAGAGAGUGUGUAUCUAUAGUCUGUGGCAUCUGUGUUCUGCGGUUGUGCUGGGGGGAGGGACUAGGAAAGGGCUAGUCGAGAGCAGAGUGGGCAGACUUUAGGACAGACCAAGAGGAGGAGUGAGGGGGAAGCCUAGGGGGUCAGAGGGUGUGUGAGGGGUGUCUGGACAACAGAGUGGGGGAGGGGCUAACAGCCAU